rnacentral:rRNA from 1 species
UACGUAGGGAGCAAGCGUUGUCCGGAAUCAUUGGGCGUAAAGCGCGCGUAGGCGGCCCCGUAAGUCCGCUGUGAAAGUCCAAGGCUCAACCUUUGAAAGCCGGUGGAUACUGUGGGGCUAGAGUCCGGAAGAGGCGAGUGGAAUUCCUGGUGUAGCGGUGGAAUGCGCAGAUAUCAGGAGGAACACCAAUAGCGAAGGCAGCUCGCUGGGACGGUACUGGCGCUAAGGCGCGAAAGCGUGGGGAGCGAACAGG